rnacentral:rRNA from 1 species
CCCUUAGAUGUCCGGGGCCGCACGCGCGCUACACUGAAGGAAUCAGCGUGGCUUUCUCCCUGACCCGAAAGGGUUGGGAAACCCGUUGAAUCUCCUUCGUGAUAGGGAUUGGGGCUUGAAAUUGUUCCCCAUGAACGAGGAAUUCCCAGUAAGCGCGAGUCAUAAGCUCGCGUUGAUUACGUCCCUGCCCUUUGUACACACCGCCCGUCGCUACUACCGAUUGAACGCUCAGGUGAGCCAUUCGGACUUUCAUCAUGCUGGUUUCCAGUUUUGAUGAAGGAAAGUCUUGCGAACCUUAUCAUUUAGAGGAAGGAGAAGUCGUAACA